UACAGAGGUCUCGAGCGUUAGGCGGAAUCACUGGGCUUAAAGCGUGUGUAGGUGGAUCGGUAAGUACCUUGUGAAAGCCCACGGCUUACCCGUGGAAUUGCCUGGCAGACUGCGGUGCUAGAGUGUGGUAGGGGAGAGCGGAACUCCUGGUGGAGCGGUGAAAUGCGUAGAUAUCAGGAGGAACACCGGUGGCGAAGGCGGCUCUCUGGUCCACAACUGACGCUGAGGUGCGAAAGCUAGGGGAGCAAACGGG
rnacentral:rRNA from 1 species